rnacentral:rRNA from 1 species
UACGGAAGGUGCGAGCGUUAAUCGGAAUUACUGGGCGUAAAGCGCACGUAGGUGGUUUUAUAGGUCGGAUGUGAAAGCCCCGGGCUUAACCUGGGAAUUGCAUCUGAUACUGUCUGACUAGAGUAUGCUAGAGGGAAGUGGAAUUCCAGGUGAUAGCGGUGAAAUGCGUAGAUAUCUGGAGGAACACCAAUGGCGAAGGCAACU